UACGAAGGGAGCUAGCGUUGUUCGGAAUCACUGGGCGUAAAGCGCACGUAGGCGGAUUUGUCAGUCAGGGGUGAAAUCCCGGGGCUCAACCUCGGAACUGCCUUUGAUACAGCAAGUCUUGAGUUCGAGAGAGGUGGGUGGAAUUCCUAGUGUAGAGGUGAAAUUCGUAGAUAUUAGGAAGAACACCGGUGGCGAAGGCAAUCCCCUGGGCCUGCACUGACGCUCAUGCACGAAAGCGUGGGGAGCAAACAGG
rnacentral:rRNA from 1 species